rnacentral:lncRNA from 10 species
UCUUAGUUCGGCUCUAUUGCCGCGAGCUUGACUCUUCCUGGGUCUGAGGAAAAGUAAAAGUAAUUUUGUCAUUUCCUGAAACUUCAAGUUAAACCUUUAAGCUGUUCAUUUCCUAAAAGGGUGAAAACGCGGGCACCCCUCGAGCUAGUUCAUCGCCUUUUAACCUGAAAAAAGUAUACUCAUGAGCAAGAAAGAAAACAAACAACAAACAAAAUGAAGUAGGAAACUCAAUGUUAACAGCUUAACACAGAAAGCCACUACAACAAUGAACAAAAAUUGCAAGUUAAUGAUAAAACAGAUGGAUCGUGAGUGGUUGUUGGAUCUUUCCAGAUCACCACACCACAUCACCCAGCCACUCUGCCCAAUGGGAGGGCAGACAGUGUUCCAGUGUAGGAGGAAGGGGUGUAAGGUGCGGGCAGUUUGUGAGGAGGGCACCAACGAGAGCUACUGUGAGAAAGUCUGCAUGGUCAAAAAGUGGAUUACCAAGAACAAAGCAUCAUAAUGUUGUCCAGUGGACCCCAGGUUAGCUUAAAAGGUCUAGUCUUUGAUUCUUUAUGGAUUAUUGUUUUGAUGUAUGUCUUAGUCUGUUUAUGCUGCUAUAACAAAAUACCUUAGGCUGGGUAAUUUAUAAAGAACAGAAGUAUAUUUCUCACAGUUAUGGAGGUUGGAAAGUCCAAGAUCAAGAUGCUUACAAUUUGGUUUGACUUUGAAACAAAAAGUUAUCAUGUACACAGAAAAGCACAGAAGCAGAGGAGUGGAAUGAAGUGUGAUAUUAGUGAACGAAAGAGCCAACAUUGAAGUGACCACAGUUCCAUAUGGUCUUGCAAAGCAACCACUGAAUGUUUUGCCUAAAAACCCAAGAAGACCUUCUACUGAUGAUCACAUUCAAAUUUUAAAUGUCUAGUGACUAAGAGACUAAUCACAUGGGGCUGCUUAGAUUUAUCGAGGCCCUUUUCUGAGGCCUCCCUUGGCCAGAUAUGAUUAAAUAUUUAUCAAACUAAGGACUCAGCUUACUUGGAGUGAAAACUCUUCAGGGCCUCUCAGAGAUACCUAAGAUAAGUACCUUAUUUUAGUAGCUCUCAAAUAAAGCUUCUUUUAUGCUCUGUCUUUUUCAUAUAUAAAAUAAGGUCUAAUUAGAAAGUUUUAUAAUGGAGGCAGUCAAUUCCCCAAUUCCUUAUUUGUUUGAAUUAACUUUUAAAAAAUUGGGGUGUUCACUCUGGCGUUGGCUCAAUCCAGACUCUGUAAUCAGCCAACAAUCUGUGAGGGAUUACGUGAGAUAAUAUGGUCUGUGUGCUGAUUCACUCAUUUAGUGUGGUCUCAUUUCCUUAAAGAACACAUCUUGAGAGAACACUUUUUUUCUCUCUAACCCUCAGGGUCAUCUGGAUGAAAUGAAUACUUUUAGGGCAAAAUGGCUGAUACUGCUUCCUUGAUAACCACAUAUAGGAAACUGACAACUGUUUAGAACAAAGCCAAAGAUGAAACCAAAUAUAAAACCACUGAUGAAAACUAAGUGAAAAAUAUAAGCAAAAUAGAAGAAAAAUAAGGUCGUUAUUUCAAGAAAACGAAAGACAGUCAAUGCUGUUCUUUGUAUUCACAUACAAUUUGGUUCACACCAAAAUGUGAGUUGUUCUCUAUGAGAUGUUAUUAAAUGUUCCUAAGAAGACUCGCUUUAGAAAAAAACAGUAUUCCUAAGGCAUGUCCAAUCUGUCUCUUUUCUUAAUUGCUAUAGUUCUACUUUAUUAUUAUAAUGUAUUCAGCAUUAAAAUUCAUUAUUUCCCAGCCAGGGGAAGUUCACUCGGAAGACCUCAACUUUUUCCUACCAGGUAUUUAACCAACAUGGGAGAGAAUAAGACACGGAAAAGGGAUCAGCAAAAAGUGCAAAGCCCCUGCUUUUCCUACUCAAAGUGAGAUCCCUGGACCAGCGGCAUCAGCAUCACCUUGGAGCUUGUCAGAAGUGCAGAAUCUCAGGUUCUGAUCCCAGAUCUACUGAAUCAGAAUGUGCACUUUAAUACGGUCCCCAGGUGUCCAGUGACACGUUCAAAUUUUGAGAAGCGAUGGCCCAGACAAUGAAAUAAGAGAAUCUGAAGUGGACCAGGGCAGAGGCCUUUUUCCUCAAGCAAGGCUGCUGAGGGUUUCACUAAUUCUGUAGUAAGGUGCACAGCAGCUCCCUGAGGUACACAGAAGCUCUUGCUCACCUGCCACUUCCAGCCUUGGUAUUUUCCAGUUGUCGGGUAAGGAGUUUAGCAAUGGCGGUGAAGCUGUUGCUCAUGCGGAAGAUGUCUCUGCUCUGAGGGCCCAAGAUUGAG